rnacentral:rRNA from 1 species
CCUACGGGUGGCAGCAGUGAGGAAUAUUGGUCAAUGGACGAGAGUCUGAACCAGCCAAGUAGCGUGAAGGAUGACUGCCCUAUGGGUUGUAAACUUCUUUUAUAUGGGAAUAAAAUGUUCCACGUGUGGGAUUUUGUAUGUACCAUAUGAAUAAGGAUCGGCUAACUCCGUGCCAGCAGCCGCGGUAAUACGGAGGAUCCGAGCGUUAUCCGGAUUUAUUGGGUUUAAAGGGAGCGUAGGUGGAUUGUUAAGUCAGUUGUGAAAGUUUGCGGCUCAACCGUAAAAUUGCAGUUGAAACUGGCAGUCGUGAGUACAGUAGGGGUGGGCGGAAGUCGUGGGGUAGCGGUGAAAUGCUUAGAUAUCACGAAGAACUCCGAUUGCGAAGGCAGCUCACUGGACUGCAACUGACACUGAGGCUCGAAAGUGUGGGUAUCAAACAGGAUUAGAGACCCCAGUAGUC